rnacentral:rRNA from 1 species
CUCUUAAUUGAAAAAUACACAACUUUCAACAACGGAUCUCUUGGCUCUUGCAUCGAUGAAGAACGCAGCGAAAUGCGAUAAGUAAUGUGAAUUGCAGAAUCCAGUGAAUCAUCGAAUCUUUGAACGCACCUUGCGCCCUUUGGUAUUCCGAGGG